GUGGGCAGCACAUACGCUGAGAUUGGAACGAUACGGAGAAGAUAAGCAUGGUCCCUGCACCAGGAUGACACACAAAUUCGUGAAGUGUUCCAUUUUUUU
ensembl:snRNA U6 U6 spliceosomal RNA